UACAGAGGUCCCAAGCGUUGUUCGGAUUCACUGGGCGUAAAGGGUGCGUAGGUGGUGAGGUAAGUCGGAUGUGAAAGCUCGGAGCUCAACUCCGAAAUGGCAUUGGAAACUACCUUGCUCGAGGGUUGGAGGGGGGACUGGAAUACUUGGUGUAGCAGUGAAAUGCGCAGAUAUCAGGAGGAACACCGAUGGCGAAGGCGGCGAGCUGGUCCAUUACUGACGCUGAGGCGCGACAGCGUGGGGAGCAAACAGG
rnacentral:rRNA from 1 species